GUGUCAGCAGCCGCGGUAAUACAGAGGUCCCGAGCGUUGUUCGGAUUCAUUGGGCGUAAAGGGUGCGUAGGCGGCGGGGCAAGUCUGAUGUGAAAUCCCGGGGCUCAACCCCGGAACUGCAUUGGAUACUGCCUUGCUAGAGUACUGGAGAGGGAACUGGAAUUUACGGUGUAGCAGUGAAAUGCGUAGAGAUCAGAAGGAACAUCCGUGGCGAAGGCGGAAUCCUGGGCCAACACCGACACUGAGGCACGAAAGCGUGGGGAGCAAACAGGAUUAGAUACCCUAGUAGUCC
rnacentral:rRNA from 1 species